GCAUUGGUGGUUCAGUGGUAGAAUUCUCGCCUGCCGCGGGGGUUCAGGCCGGGUUCGAUUCCGGCCAAUGCA
rnacentral:tRNA from 1 species